UACGUAGGGCGCAAGCGUUGUCCGGAAUUAUUGGGCGUAAAGAGCUCGUAGGCGGCCUGUUGCGUCCGCUGUGAAAUCCCGGGGCUCAACCCCGGGCCUGCAGUGGAUACGGGCUGGCUAGAGGCAGGCAGGGGAGAACGGAAUUCCUGGUGUAGCGGUGAAAUGCGCAGAUAUCAGGAGGAACACCAGUAGCGAAGGCGGCACUCUGGGCCGGUACUGACGCUGAGGAGCGAAAGCGUGGGGAGCGAACAGG
rnacentral:rRNA from 1 species